UCUAGAAGUAUUGUUAUUCCUUACUUUCAGUAUUCCCAUCAGAUUGCUGUAGACAGCGUCUACAAAUUUUGUCAUUUAAGUUUUAACUGAAAAGGCUAGCUAGAUCAGAUUGUCAACAUAUCUUAGAUACCAUGAUACUCAAUGAAAGAAUGCUAAAUCAAUCCAGUGGGCUGAGGAAUAAAUGAUAUGUGGUCUCUUCUACAACACAACAUGAUUCUCACCUGUACUCGAAACAAAAGCCACUGCUGAGAAGGUUGCCAAUAAGAAUUUUAUUCAUGGUAGCUGUCCAACCAAAUGCAAGCGCACUUGGUGUUGUGAAUAUGCACUUCUGAUCCUAGAGUACUGGGCUGAUGCGCCUGAAAUUCAGCGAUCAGCCGAUCUUUAUGAAGAUCUAAUAAAAUGUUAUGUUACAGAUGCAAUGAGCGAGGUUUUAAUGCUUGGUAUCAGUUCUGACUUGGUAAUGACUGGACCUGUUCUACUUGUGUGUGGAAAUGAUGUGAGAGUCAAAUGGGUUUUGGAUAUCUUGGAUUAGAUGUUCUGCAUUACAGGUUUCGAGGAUGGACUCAGGCUAGUCAAGGUCAGAGAAGAAGCUAUGUAGGAAGUUGUAGAUGCUGCUAACAGUACUAUGGUUGUUGUCAUAGAACUAGAUUCAGAAAAGGUCCAGCUGCUAUGCGAUGCAGCUAAUGAAGAAGUAGAUGAGAAAAAUAAAGAUCAAAUUGCAAACUUCCU